rnacentral:rRNA from 1 species
GUGGGGAAUAUUGGGCAAUGGGGGCAACCCUGACCCAGCGACGCCGCGUGAGGGAAGAAGGCCUUAGGGUCGUAAACCUCUGUUGUGUGGGAAGAAGGAAGUGACGGUACCACACGAGGAAAUCCCGGCUAACUACGUGCCAGCAGCCGCGGUAAUACGUAGGGGACGAGCGUUGUCCGGAAUUACUGGGCGUAAAGGGCGCGUAGGCGGUCAUUUAAGUCAGCUGUGAAAUGGUCCGGCUCAACCGGAUCGUGCGGUUGAAACUGGAUGUCUGGAGUGCUGGAGAGGCAAGUGGAAUUCCCAGUGUAGCGGUGAAAUGCGUAGAUAUUGGGAAGAACACCGGUGGCGAAGGCGACUUGCUGGCCAGCAACUGACGCUGAGGCGCGAAAGCCAGGGGAGCAAACGGGAUUAGAUACCCUGGUAGUCC